GGGCCCGUAGCUCAACUAGGCAGAGCAGCUGACUCUUAAUCAGUUGGUUGGAGGUUCGAUUCCUCCCGGGCCCA
rnacentral:tRNA from 1 species